AGAGCGAACGCUGGCGGCAGGCCUAACACAUGCAAGUCGAACGGAUCCUUCGGGAUUAGUGGCGGACGGGUGAGUAACACGUGGGAACGUGCCUUUUGGUUCGGAAUAGCUCCUGGAAACGGGUGGUAAUGCCGAAUGUGCCCUUCGGGGGAAAGAGUUUAUCGCCAUUAGAGUCGGCCCGCGUCUGAUUAGCUAGUUGGUGGGGUAAAGGCCCACCGAAGGCGACGAUCUGUAGCUGGUUUGAGAGGACGACAGACCACACGUGGACUGAGACGACCGGCCAGACCUACCGUACGGGAGCAGCAGGU
rnacentral:rRNA from 1 species